GGCUUGUGAGGAGCCUUGUGAGUCAACUCAUAUCUCUCAUGAUUCUUCAAAAUGAAGUACACCUCAGGAGGUUUCAACCAACGGGUCUUAGCUUCUUGGGACAGAGUACUAAUCUCGUAUUCUAAAUUAAACGACAAAAAGCAAGAGGAGGUUUCCGACAACAGCCACGGCACGAAGAUGGAUGCUAUGCCAGCUUUACAGGCUGAUAUCGGGAAGCAGUUUUUAAGUGGUAUAUAUCCCCUCCACCAGUGAACUUGCUAUAAAAGAAACAAAAAGGCAGGAGAGCUUUUUCUUACUACCGACACAUCCGUGGAAAACACAGAGACCUUUACUAGUCAAUGCGUUUCGGAACCAUUAUACUUAGCAACUGUAGGAGGAGGAUUACAUCCCUCCAGAGGCCCAGCGAAUAGCGAGAUACGGCCCACUCUUCAAGAAAGGGAAAAAGGAUUCAACAAGCUAAGAAGACGUCGUAACAGGCGACCCGUGUUGGUAUGACGACCAAAAGACACAAAGCCCAUUAAGUCGGCCCCGCGACUUAAAGCCCAGCAAGACUGGUGGGCAUUAGGGCAAACGACGAGUAGCUGCCUAUAAAAGGAAGAAGAGUAGCAACAUGAAAGGGAUCCACACUUUUACACACUCACAAGGCGGCUAGAUCUAGGGUUUUUACUCCUCUCUAUCCGCUAUCUUGUAUCGUUUCCAGGCUAGCUCUUCGAGCUCUGCUUUGUCUUUCUCUUUACAUUUACUCUGUAACUGGU